GAAGUUUCAACAACUUAAUAUUUAUACUUGAACUUCUUUGUUCAAUUCUCCAGAACCAGGGGCCACACACACAGUCUUACAAUAAAGGGGAGGUCAUUUAAGACUGAGAAAUACUUUUUAGGAAUUCCUAAUCAUUAUUCUGCAACGGUGAAUGAAGGAUGGGAUGGUUUUCAAGCCUGAAAUUGGAGAAUUAAGCUCACUGGCCUUCACGGCGUGUCAUUGCAAGGAUGAAUAUCAACAUGCAGCUUAUUACUAGGCAGUUCCAUACACUGUGAAUUCUGCAGCUUGGGAAAUGGAUGAGAAUACUGCUGGUAAAAAGAAAUGAUGA